rnacentral:rRNA from 1 species
GAUCAUGGCUACAGAACGAACGCUGGCGGCGCGUCUUAAGCGUGCAAGUCGAACGGCAAGAGGUAGCAAUACCUCCUAGAGUGGCGGACUGGUGAGUAACACGUGGGUGACAUACCCUUCAGAUGGGGAUAGCUAUUAGAAAUAGUAGAUAAUACCGAAUACGAGCACAGGGGUUAGAGAUCUGUGAGGAAAGGAGCUAAGGCUCCGCUGAAGGAAUGGCCUGCGGCCCAUUAGCUAGUUGGUGAGGUAAGAGCCCACCAAGGCGAUGAUGGGUAUCCGGCCUUAGAGGGUGAACGGACACAUUGGGACUGAGAUACGGCCCAGACUCCUACGGGAGGCAGCAGCUAAGAAUAUUCCGCAAUGGACGAAAGUCUGACGGAGCGACGCCGCGUGGAUGAAGAAGGCCGGAAGGUUGUAAAAUCCUUUUGAAACUGAAGAAUAAGCGUUGUAGGGAAUGACAGCGUGGUGACAGUAGGUUUUGAAUAAGCAACGGCUAAUUACGUGCCAGCCGCUGC